GACGAACGCUGGCGGCGUGCUUAACACAUGCAAGUCGAACGGAAAGGCCCUGCUUUUGUGGGGUGCUCGAGUGGCGAACGGGUGAGUAACACGUGAGUAACCUGCCCUUGACUUUGGGAUAACUUCAGGAAACUGGGGCUAAUACCGGAUAGGAGCUCCUGCUGCAUGGUGGGGGUUGGAAAGUUUCGGCGGUUGGGGAUGGACUCGCGGCUUAUCAGCUUGUUGGUGGGGUAGUGGCUUACCAAGGCUUUGACGGGUAGCCGGCCUGAGAGGGUGACCGGCCACCUUGGGACUGAGAUACGGCCCAGACUCCUACGGGAGGCAGCAGUGGGGAAUAUUGCACGAUGGGCGGAAGCCUGAUGCAGCAACGCCGCGUGCGGGAUGACGGCCUUCGGGUUGUAAACCGCUUUCGCCUGUGACGAAGCGUGAGUGACGGUAAUGGGUAAAGAAGCACCGGCUAACUACGUG
rnacentral:rRNA from 1 species